rnacentral:rRNA from 1 species
UACGGAGGGGGCGAGCGUUAUUCGGAAUUAUUGAGCGUAAAGGGCGCGUAGGCGGCUGUACAAGUCAAAGGUGAAAUCCCUCGGCUCAACUGAGGAACUGCCUUUGAAACUGUACGGCUUGAGGCCGGGAGGGGGUAGCGGAAUUCCCAGUGUAGCGGUGAAAUGCGUAGAUACUGGGAGGAACACCAGUGGCGAAGGCGGCUACCUGGACCGGUUCUGACGCUGAGGCGCGAAAGCGUGGGUAGCAAACAGG